AGAGUUUGAUCCUGGCUCAGGAUGAACGCUGGCGGCGUGCUUAACACAUGCAAGUCGAACGGGAAUGCCGCGCUGAUGCGAUUUCGGUCAAAUCAUGUGGCAUUCGAGUGGCGGACGGGUGAGUAACGCGUGGGUAACCUGCCUUACACAGGGGGAUAACACCUGGAAACAGGUGCUAAUACCGCAUAAGCGCACAGGGCCGCAUGGCCCGGUGUGAAAAACUCCGGUGGUGUAAGAUGGACCCGCGUCUGAUUAGCUUGUUGGCGGGGUAGGGGCCCACCAAGGCGACGAUCAGUAGCCGGCCUGAGAGGGUGGACGGCCACAUUGGGACUGAGACACGGCCCAAACUCCUACGGGAGGCAGCAGUGGGGGAUAUUGGACAAUGGGGGAAACCCUGAUCCAGCGACGCCGCGUGAGUGAAGAAGUAUUUCGGUAUGUAAAGCCCUGUCAGCAGGGAAGAAAGAAAUGACGGUACCUGACCAAGAAGCCCCGGCUAACUACGUGCCAGCAGCCGCGGUAAUACGUAGGGGGCAAGCGUUAUCCGGAAUUACUGGGUGUAAAGGGAGCGUAGACGGUGAUGCAAGUCUGGAGUGAAAGGCGGGGGCCCAACCCCCGGACUGCUCUGGAAACUGUGUAACUCGAGUGCAGGAGAGGUAAGCGGAAUUCCUAGUGUAGCGGUGAAAUGCGUAGAUAUUAGGAGGAACACCAGUGGCGAAGGCGGCUUACUGGACUGUAACUGACGUUGAGGCUCGAAAGCGUGGGGAGCAAACAGGAUUAGAUACCCUGGUAGUCCACGCCGUAAACGA
rnacentral:rRNA from 1 species